CCUACGGGUGGCAGCAGUGGGGAAUAUUGCACAAUGGGGGAAACCCUGAUGCAGCGACGCCGCGUGAGUGAAGAAGUAAUUCGUUACGUAAAGCUCUAUCAGCAGGGAAGAAACACUGACCUUACGGUCAGCAGACGGUACCUGAGUAAGAAGCCCCGGCUAACUACGGGCCAGCAGCCGCGGUACUACGUAGGGGGCAAGCGUGAUCCGGAUUUACUGGGUGUAAAGGGAGCGUAGACGGUGGGCCAAGUCUGAAGUGAAAUGCCGCAGCUUAACUGAGGAACUGCUUUGGAAACUGGCGAACUAGAGUGCGGGAGGGGUCAGCGGAAUGCCUAGUGUAGCGGUGAAAUGCGUAGAUAUUAGGAGGAACACCGGUGGCGAAGGCGGCUUACUGGACCGUAACUGACGUUGAGGCUCGAAAGCGUGGGGAGCAAACAGGAUUAGAUACCCUUGUAGUC
rnacentral:rRNA from 1 species